UUGGGAAUCUUGGACAAUGGGCGCAAGCCUGAUCCAGCCAUGCCGCGUGAGUGAUGAAGGCCUUCGGGUUGUAAAGCUCUUUCGCCUACGACGAUAAUGACGGUAGUAGGAGAAGAAGCCCCGGCUAACUUCGUGCCAGCAGCCGCGGUAAUACGAAGGGGGCUAGCGUUGUUCGGAAUUACUGGGCGUAAAGCGCGCGCAGGCGGCUUUCCAAGUCAGUGGUGAAAGCCCGGAGCUCAACUCCGGAAUUGCCAUUGAAACUGGAAAGCUUGAGUACGAGAGAGGUGAGUGGAAUUCCCAGUGUAGAGGUGAAAUUCGUAGAUAUUGGGAAGAACACCGGUGGCGAAGGCGGCUCACUGGCUCGUUACUGACGCUCAGGCGCGACAGCGUGGGGAUCAAACAGGAUUAGAUACCCCUGUAGUCC
rnacentral:rRNA from 1 species